UACGUAGGGGGCUAGCGUUGUCCGGAUUUAUUGGGCGUAAAGAGCGUGUAGGCGGCCAUGUAGGUCCGGUGUGAAAACUCGAGGCUUAACCUCGAGAUGUCAUCGGAAACCAUUUGGCUAGAGUCCGGAAGAGGAGAGUGGAAUUCCUGGUGUAGCGGUGAAAUGCGCAGAUAUCAGGAAGAACACCAAUGGCGAAGGCAGCUCGCUGGGACGUGACUGACGCUGAGACGCGAAAGCGUGGGGAGCAAACAGG
rnacentral:rRNA from 1 species